CGGCGGACGGGUGAGUAACGCGUGGGUAACCUGCCUCAUACAGGGGGAUAACAGUUGGAAACGGCUGCUAAUACCGCAUAAGCGCACAGUACCGCAUGGUACCGUGUGAAAAACUCCGGUGGUAUGAGAUGGACCCGCGUCUGAUUAGCUAGUUGGUGGGGUAACGGCCUACCAAGGCGACGACCAGUAGCCGACCUGAGAGGGUGACCGGCCACAUUGGGACUGAGACACGGCCAA
rnacentral:rRNA from 1 species